CCUAGGUGUGCUCCUCUGUCCCCUGGACCUGUCCCCCAACCUGGCUGCCUGGUGGAUCUCCUGGGGAGCUUUAUAAAACCCAAUGCCCAGGCCCACCCCGAGUCAACAUUUCCCAAGCUCCUCGGCUGACUCCAACAUUUGCCAGCACUGAGGAGCAGUGGUGAGGGCACUGCCUCGGAGUCCGACACAGGUCUGCCCCUCACCCCACCCCUCUGCUUCCUCAUCCUUGGAGACAGCCUUGCAGAAGCCUCGAGUCAGAAAUCAGCCCCCUGCUGCUGCCUUGCUCCUGGAUGCAGAGAUCGAGGUUCAGCA